GGGGAUAUAGCUCAGUUGGUAGAGUGCUUGCCCUGCAUGCACAGGGCCCUGGGCUCAAUCCCCAGCACCACCA
rnacentral:tRNA from 1 species